UAGGUAAGGUGCAUUGGGGCAAUUUCGAAAAUGGGUAUAUUCCGAAAAUGCAAAAAAUCUACCAAACACAGCAAUAUAUUCCAGCCGGCAACAUUAGGCCAAGCGCCAUCUUAGAUUUACUUGUGGCGACAGACGUCGCGAGCCGCUCGCGCUAACGACACGUGAGUAUCGUCAAAUUAUUCAAGAGAAGUGAUUUCGCGCCAAAAUUUAGUGAUUCGUAAUAACCCCAACAUCGUUUUCUCGAAAUUCUGUGUCAUCAUGCCUCGUACUUAUUUAAAAAAGAAAAAUAAGACAUACACUCCUCAAGAUUUAGCCACUGCCAUACAGCAGGUAAGAAACGGGGAGCUUACCGCAUAUGCUGCUGCACAGAAGUACAAGAUACCAAUGACCACUCUUCAUGACCAUGUCAAAACUAAAGACACUAGGCAGAAUGCAGGUAGACCCAAAUCAUUUAAAGCAAUAUGGGAUGCAAAACUGGUAGAGUGGCAGAGAAGAAACGUUGGUACGAAAAUGCCAAAAAACGUUUUCGCACAAACUAUGGCAGAUACUUGGCAACAAA